GCCUGGGUGGCUCAGUGGUUAAGCAUCUGCCUUUGGCUCAGGUCGUGAUCUUGGGGUUGUGGGAUCGAGUCCCACAUUGGGCU
rnacentral:tRNA from 1 species